rnacentral:misc_RNA from 1 species
ACAAUGGAGUCAAAGAAGAUAGUUUCCAUGAUGCAGAUCGUACAGUACGGAAGGGAGAUCCUUUCUGUAGUAUUUCCCAACACACUAAAAUUCAGGAUAAUGCACCUGCGACUGAUGAAUUGUCUGGAGUAAGUAAACAAGACAAUUCUGCCGAGUGCUUUGUCAAUUCAAAUGUAUCCCUUGCAACUGCAGCCGAGCAAAGUAAUG